rnacentral:rRNA from 1 species
UACGUAGGGGGCAAGCGUUGUUCGGAAUUACUGGGCGUAAAGGGCGCGUAGGCGGCAGGCCAAGUCGGGAGUGAAAGCCCGGGGCUCAACCCCGGAAUGUCUUUCGAAACUGGCAGGCUAGAGUGCGGGAGAGGAGAGUGGAAUUCCUGGUGUAGCGGUGAACUGCGCAGAUAUCAGGAAGAACACCCGUGGCGAAGGCGGCUCUCUGGAACGCAACUGACGCUGAGACGCGAAAGCGUGGGGAGCAAACAGG